UAAUUGUUCUUUUUCCGUAAAAAGUCAAGAGCAUUCACUUGGGGUGAGUAAAAGAUAAGUUGGGGAGAACGAAAAUGAGAAUCGGUAGGUGCCACAACUCUUGAAUAACCGAGCAAGCAUUGAAAAAAAUAAGAAAAGAGAAACAUUUGUUUUGUGAAUACGAUGUGGAAAGAAAAAGAAAAAAAAAGGAAAAUGAAAAUGAAUGCUUGCUUGGAAGAAA
rnacentral:lncRNA from 1 species